CCACAGUCUAGCUAUUGUGAAUUGUGCUGCUACGAACAUAGAUGUGGCAGUAUCCCUGUAGUAUGCUCUUUUAAGGUCUUCAGGGAAUAGUCCGAGAAGGGCAAUACUCCUUAAAAGUGAUCUGCCUAUGUUAAACUGAAGUCUCAGGAGAAUCUAUUUUUAUAACUAGAAUUUCUAUCCUUCUUCCCCCAACUAAAUGUAUUUCUUCUUAUUUUAGCUAUGAUUAUAAAAUUCUGAAAAAGAAAUUUUGUAAAUUUAAACUAGAAAAAAAUGUGGUUGAUUCUUUUUAUUCACUUGAGUUAUAUUCCAGUUUGGGGGAAUUAUUUAGUCAAUAAGUGCUCCUGGUAGGAAAUGUAUCACAUGGAUUGUAAUCUUUAAUCUUAAAAACAAUUCAUGCUAGUAGAUUCCAUUUUUUUGUUUGUUUUUUUGAGAAGUUGAAGUUUAGAUGUGAUUUGCCUGAAGCUGCCCCAUUAACAGGUGCCAGAGUUGAAAUUCUGAGCUCCUUGCACUACACUGCACUCUGAUCCUUGCCAUCUCUGUCCUCUUUUUUGCUCUAUGAGAGCUGAAACAAGGCAGUGUGAUCACCAUGUUUGAAUGUAGCUGAACAUCAUUUUACAGUAACUCAAAUUUCUUGCCAUAACUCUGUGUGUGUCUACAAAUGUCUAUGAAAGCACCAUUGGUAUGGAUUUGUGGGUUUCAAAUAAAUUUGAGCAAGUAGGCAAAUACAGCAUUUGUGAAUAAUGAAGAUGGAAAAUACAUAUAAUACAGCAUAUUUUAUAAACUUAGAAGAUUCUACAGGAAGUUGAGAAAUUACCAAGACAAGAGUAUUGUUUGGAUAACAAAAGCGUUAACUAGCACUUAUUAAGUACUUACUCUACAACAGGCAGAAUUCAAAGCCUCUUACACAUAUUAAUGCAUUGAAUCAUCACUACUACCCUAUGAGAUAAGGGUACCUUUAUCAUUUACAUUUUACAAAUGAUGGUACCAAGACAACUCAAGAUGAAAGAAAUAAUCCAGGUGCAGAAGUGAUGUAUUGAUA
rnacentral:lncRNA from 1 species